AUGCAAGUGCAGGCGGCCGCUAUCAUAUGACUUUGUCUUGCAGAUCAGGUCAUGUAUCAUGUCAUGGACAAAGAUACUCCUAAGGGAAUUUGGGACAAGUUGGCAAAUCGUUAUAUGUCCAAGUCAGCAACCAAUAAGUUGUAUUUGAAGCAAAAGUUCUAUGGGCUGAAGAUGUAGGAGGGGUCGGAUCUUGUGGAGCAUGUGAAUGCCUUUAAUCAGUUGGUCACGGAUCUAGCGCGUCUGUAUGUGAAGAUUGAGGACGAGGAUAAGGCACUACUUCUUAUUGUUUCGUUGCCACCGUCCUAUGAGCAUUUGGUCAUUACAUUGACACAUGGAAAGACAACCGAAAAUAAUGAGGAGUCGCUGCAACGUUGCUUGGACAUGAGUUGA
rnacentral:rRNA from 1 species